AUUGAACGCUGGCGGCAGGCUUAACACAUGCAAGUCGAGCGGGCGAGGUUGCUUCGGUAACUGAGCUAGCGGCGGACGGGUGAGUAAUGCUUAGGAAUCUGCCUAUUAGUGGGGGACAACAUUCCGAAAGGAAUGCUAAUACCGCAUACGCCCUACGGGGGAAAGCAGGGGAUCUUCGGACCUUGCGCUAAUAGAUGAGCCUAAGUCAGAUUAGCUAGUUGGUGGGGUAAAGGCCUACCAAGGCGACGAUCUGUAGCGGGUCUGAGAGGAUGAUCAGCCACACUGGAACUGAGACACGGUCCAGACUCCUACGGGAGGCAGCAGUGGGGAAUUUUGGACAAUGGGGGCAACCCUGAUCCAGCCAUGCCGCGUGAGUGAAGAAGGCCUUCGGGUUGUAAAGCUCUUUCGGCCGGGAAGAAAUCGCACGGGCUAAUACCCUGUGUGGAUGACGGUACCGGAAUAAGAAGCACCGGCUAACUACGUGCCAGCAGCCGCAGUAACAC
rnacentral:rRNA from 1 species